AAGCCCUCUUCUCACCUGUGAGCAGCAGCCCCGCCCAGGGGAUGCACCAUCUGCAGGGAGGGGCUGAAAUGGGCCCCAUGGUCUCUACUGCCUGUGUGUUCUCCUCUGUGGAGAUGAGCCUGGGAUCCAGAAACUUUCUGAGCACCGCUGUCAGCUGUGCUGUCCUUCCUCCUCCUGUGCUGAGCCUCUUCUGGGGGCAGGAGCACUUCUCAGGCUCAUGGGCGGGGUCUGUGCCCAGGACACUUCUCUGUCCCCUCCCCUCUCAGUCUUGCCUCCUUGUCCCUCCUUUCCCUUUAUUUUCUGUCUGUGUUUCAGGCCCCUGGGAAUUGCUGAGGCCUCUGCCUCCUUCAACAGUGAUUCUCUCACCCAACCUCUACACACACUAUGCCCAGACACACACACACACAUACACAUACACACACACAGAGAAACACACACACAGACACACACACACACAAAGAGAUACACACACACAGAGAAACACACACACAGACACACACACACAAAGAGACACACACAGACACACAGUCACACACACACCCUGUAGGUUGGGUGAGCACAGCCCUGGGCCCUCAGCGUCCUGCAGCCCAUGUCUCCAGGUCGGGUGCACAGUUGCUUCCCCUGCCCUCUCCCUUCCCCAUCUGACUCUUCCCUUCAGAUCAGGAGGUCGGGGCUCCGCAAGGACCCUGUCACAGGGACACCACCACUGAGCUUUGGGGAGAUACAGCAAGAAAGCAGGCAUCUGCAAGAAAGCCCUCACCAGGACUAAAUCAGCUGACACCUCCACCUUGGACUUCCCAGCUUCCAGAACUGUGAGAUAUAGAUUUCUAUUGCUUAAGUCACCAAGGCUAUGGUGUUUUUAAUAGCAGCCCAAGCCCAGGAAUACAUCAUCUGACUCACUGCUUUGAAUGAAGCUCUUCAGUUUCUCCAUCAACUUAGCUGGCAGCUCCUGUCCCCAGCAGCAUCAGAAGCCCCAACAAAAGAGCUCCAGGAGGGGCUCAACCUGCACAGGGGGCAGCCUCAAUGUCAGGUCCUGGAUGGCAGGGGCAGUCUGAUGGAAUGCGCGCUGUCCAGGUUCCUGCCCUCUCUGGAAGCUUGAUAAUGAGGAACCCUGAUGUGUCACUACGGAGGAGGCUGUGGGAAAAAGCUGUUUCUCAGGGCUGCCUGGAUCACAAGCUGGAGCUGGAGGACGUGCCUGGCAGGGGAGUGACCCCCAUGGGAAAGAGCAGGGUUCAGCAGAGUGACAGCAGCCGGGACCCAGAGAAGCCAGUGAGGUUUGACUCUUAGAAGCCAAAGACCAGCAGCUCUUCAGCAGAAGAUUUGGGCCCUGGGCUGGCACUGUCCUGCAGCAGGGGCAGGGUGGACAGGAAUGGCUGCAUAUCAGGCCUAAUUCCUUGUCAUCCUCUCAGGCAUUGCCACUGAAGAUGGAGAAUUUUGUUCAGAGGCCCAGCCUGGGCACAUGGGAGGAACCACCUUAUUAAAAUUAAUUUAAGAAAACAGUAUGCAUGCUUUAUUCUUCUCAAAUAAUUAUUAAUGUCAUGUUUUACAGUGUAUCUCUUAAAGGAGUGGUGAGAAUCAUCUACAUAAAGUGUGUUUUAGGUGGUCUUUUCUAUAAUUGCAGCUUUCACAUGUUCUUAGAGAAACCGUUUUCUUUGGGGACACACAGGCAGUAUCUCUGUGUUCAUUUCUACUGGGAAAUCUUUAUGCAGGGU